AGAAGACUGACUCAGGCACCCAGGCAGGGAAAUAUUAAAAGGGAUACAACAAAGGUUUUAUGUGACGUCUGUGCACUCAUUGUAUGUAUCAAAGCAUCUCUGGAAAGACCCGUGUGGACCCCAGGAGAGUUGGCUGGGGUCAGCAUGGGAGAGAGACCGGCCACGUGUGACCUUGUUUUACAUUUUGAACCAGCAGGAAGUGUCCCCUUUGGAAAAACCAACUUAGGCUCGUGACUUGUUCAGUGUUUCUGUGCUGGCCUGCUCGUCUGAGCGGAUGAACCGGCAGUCACACCACAUCGUGGAGACCAAGGGGAAGAGCAACUAAGGGGAACGAUCGUCUGUAAUCAUGGCCGUGCAAGUGCCGGCUACCUGAAUGCUAAGGGCAGCGUGGAUGACGGCUGGGAUUUCCACUCAACACUCACUUACUAUCGGAGGCAGGAGCCACCUAGUUCUGCUCCCUCCUGGCCCCAGCUCCACGAAGCAUCCGAAACUCAGAGGUUGUGUCUGAUGUGCUGUGUUGCUGAAUCCCAGCCCAGGUGGCGACUAGCAUCUGUGCCGCUGAGAGUCUUCAGGGCGGUGUGGGUUGAGCCCAUGGGGUCUUAGAGACUAGGGACUAAUGCUUUAGGAGGUCUUGAUUCCUAAGGAUGAUGUGCAGGAACCAAAAGGGACCAAAAGGGUCUCUGCUAUCCCCCUCACUCUAUGCUUGAGGGAACUGGGGUCCAGGAGUGGUCAGGACUUGCCCAGAGUGCUAGGUGACCAUGGAGCCCACUAGGCUCCAGGCAAGAGCCAGAGAUUCAGGUCCACAGCCACGCUCCACAUGUGCUCUGUGCCAGGGCCACACCGGGGUAGCCUGAGCGGGGCAGGGUAAGUGCAGCCACAUACCCAGAUUCGGGAGGGAAACAGCCUCCCUAGGGAAACACGGUCCUCCCCUCCACUCCUCCUCCCCCUCCCCCUCCUCCCUCCCCCCUCUCCUGGCAGUUCUGCCCUGCUUCUGUGCCCUCUGCCCCUUCUGUGAUCUCUCUCAGCUGUGUUAGGGUCUGGGCUGUGUGUUCAAGUCUGCAUCAGGCUCCUCACUCUCAGCUCCCAGGGGUGAGGGAGUGCCUCGUCACCUCCUGUCCUCAGGGCCCGGCACAGCCUGGCAACAGUGGCUUUCAGUACAUGUCUGUUGCUCUGAAGCCUCUCCCCAGUUGGCACAUUUGGAUUCCACUGUCCUUCACCAAGCACCCAGUCCUGGGCAGCAGCAAGCAACAGGACUGCCUGGGCCUGAGGAUUGGAGCCAGACAUGGCUGGAGGUGCAGGGGCUCUGCAGUGGUGCUGAGCCCGACUGGCCACUGUGGAGUCCAGCAGCGGCCCUGCUCCUCCACAAAGCCCUAAGGCCGUCAGCUGACACAGAGGACCAGCCGGGUGCUGCAGCAAGGCCCUGGGUGGGCUUUCCCAGCCCUGCCCCUUGCUGCUGGCAGCCUUGGGAAAUGGUGCAAGGUUUCUCCCUGAGGCUCAGUGUCACAUCCUUCGCCCACCGAGGAGUGUUUUGAUUGAGUGUAAAUAACACCCAGGAAGUCCAAGGCCUGGAAAAAAUCUUCCAGGGAAUCCACAGCAUGCGUGCUGGUGAGGCAGCUCUGCCCUGGACAUCCUUGGGUGACAGGCACUUGGGAGAAGGGGUUCGCCCCAAGGCAAGGUGCCAGGUGUAAUCGCUGGACUUGAAGAGACCUCUACAGGGUAUUUGCAGAUUUGAGACUUUAUCUGCACUUGGCAGAGGCCGGUUUCAUCUACUUCGGACAUUGGAUUCUGACAGCCCAUUCUGCACAGGGAGACUCGGAUUGGCCGAAUUUCUCUCAAAUCAGAUUUCAGAGGUAAACUUGGAGUGUUGCUCAGGGGCUGUUAUACCCUCUCCGGUCCCAUGUGGCUACCCUGAGGGUCUGGAGGAAAGAACCCCAAUAGCAUGCAGGGGGCUGUGGGGUGAGCAGAGCGAGGGAGAAAGAAGGGGCUCAGGCUGGGCUGCAAGCCAGAGUCCAGGAUGCUCCCUGCCAUCCUGGGGCUUCCCUGGCUCCAUUUUCCCUGUUGGCAAAGCCCGGAAGGCACAGGAACACGGCAGGUUGGAGCUAGUGAGAAAACUACUCUUAAAAAGAAAGAAAACGACAGUAAAUCAAAUCGCCUCCCCGCUCCUUUCAGACAAAUCAUCUGAAUUAUGAAUCAAAUCCUGUCAGUUGUGUCUGUGAAUGGAGAAUAUUCGGUAGCACGUGGAGAAGCCAGUCAGGGCUGGGACGUGGCUCAGACGUGGAGCACGUUCCCAGCAUGUGCGAGCCCUGGGUUCCACCCCAGCACCAGGAAAAGGAGGCAAAACCAAGCCAGUCAGUAGGUAAAACCAUGAAGAUUUAAACCUACAACGACCCUUUGACCCUUGCUUCAUUCAAAACCAGCCUCACCUCUAGACUCUGAGCACUUGCACUUUAUUUAGAAAACAACCUUACCGAGUUUCUGAAAGCUCCUGCCAGUACGUAAGAACCCACAGACAGGCACCCGCUCCGAGGCGCUGGGCCUGCUGCCCUUGCCUUGCCCUUCCCAGGUGGCCGUCCUGUCCUGCGGUCUUCCGAGGAGUCCACAGCGCCGACUGGGCCUGGGAGCCCCACUUCUGACCCGCCAGCUCGCCGUAGCGCUGAUAGCCAGGCCCUCUUAAGCCACGCCCCCAACUGGAGAUGCGGGGUCACGGCUGCAGCCCGCCGAUUGGUGGGCGACGGUGGUCUCGAGGGUCGUCACCGAGCCGAAAGCUUCCGCCUCGUGGUCCAGCGCAGCGAGGUCCUUAUGUGAGCUGGGCUACUUCUGCAGAAGUGGGGACCCCCAGUCACAGGGCACAGGCCGAGGGCAGGGCACGCAGCUGGGUGUCCACUCUCCUUCCUCCUUCUUUCUUCCUGGUGGUGCUGAGACUGAGCCCUGGGUGCUCCUCCACGGCACCAUGGCCGCUUCUCUUUGAGAGGUCAGGCUGACUGCGUCUGGCCUGGAACUUGCCACCCUCCCGCCCCAGCCUGAGUCGCUGGGACCCCGGCGUGCGCCGCCAGCCUGCGCUCCACCCGUCCUUCCUACCGCGUGUGCUCAGGCUUAUUUGAAAUGCGCUCGGGAACCGUGGGACCGCAGCGCCGCAGCGCCACGCCUGCCUGAGUUCGCCGCACCCCUUAAGUGCGCAGGGGGCCACCUGCGCUGACGGACCUGCCAGGUCUGUGCGGUGCCUGCAGUGGCGUUUGCAGGCGGUGACUUCUCAGAGCGUCCCUGUUGCGGAGCCUUGUACUGCUAUGCUGCUUCCCUGUGGCGGGCCCUCCUGUGCAGCCCCAGCCGGCUCGCGGGCUGAGCUGGCCACAGGAGGCGGGCCAGCCUGCAGGGCCCUCUGGGUGUGUGCUGCCCUAGAUCAGCCCAUUUCAGAAAAGUGGGCAUCUGCCCAGCUUUCUCUGCCUCAGCAUUUCACUAUUUCUCUUUAUCGUUAUUUUGAGUAGAACACUCACCAUUGCUCUGGAGGUGUGUUUAACGGUCCCUGGGGUUACUCAGCGGUCCUCUGAUCUCCUCUGUCUGCUUUUACCGCUCUGAGGAGGACGACAGGCACUGUGUACGCAGGCCAUGGAUUCUCUCCUAGCCUGCUCUACUAUUAUCCUGGGAAAAUGUGCCUGUCAUUCUCUAGCCUCAGCCAUUGACAGCUUGUAUUUUUUUUUAAGGAUUCAGUGUCUUUGUGUGUUCAUUUCUCCCACAUCUUAGUUUGGAAAAAGAAUUCUCGAGUGUCACUCUCGACAUUGGCUUUGAAAUGAUAACAUGUACAUACUGCCCUGCAUUGGGUAGGUUAUCUCACAAGGAACCCCAGAAAACCCUUGGAGCAAAUGCAAGCACUUCCUCUCCCUGAGAGACAGGCUGCUUUAUUCUCCACUCAGCAGUCUGGGUUUUGUUUGUUUUGUGAUGUGAGUGCAUUUUUGCUGGCGUUGCCAAGAGUGGCUGCAGAGGAAAAUGGUGUCCGUAAUAGCGACUCAGCACUGGCUUCUCUGCGGCUUGAUGUUGCAGCCCAGGGGUUAAAACUUGGGCCUUCCCCUAAUUGAGGCGCUCUCUCCAGCAGCCCCUUCCUCCUUACCGGGCUCUCUCCUUCCCGACUUCCUCUUUUCUCUCCCCAGUCCUCAGGGGCCAGGGGAGCAGGGAGACAUGGUCAGGCUCACGUCCCGGGCAGUACUGGUGCCACACUGGCUCCCGAGUUGGUCAUGUAAGGGAGACAGG